UACGUAGGGUCCGAGCGUUGUCCGGAAUUAUUGGGCGUAAAGGGCUCGUAGGCGGUCUGUUGCGUCGGGAGUGAAAACUUACAGCUUAAUUGUGAGCGUGCUUUCGAUACGGGCAGACUUGAGGCAUUCAGGGGAGAACGGAAUUCCUGGUGUAGCGGUGAAAUGCGCAGAUAUCAGGAGGAACACCGGUGGCGAAGGCGGUUCUCUGGGAAUGUCCUGACGCUGAGGAGCGAAAGUGUGGGGGGCGAACAGG
rnacentral:rRNA from 1 species